rnacentral:lncRNA from 1 species
AAUAUCCAGCCACAUUUAGCUAAUAAAAAAUUAUAACUUGAAAGAGAUCAAAAGAGAAACUAAAAAACUACUAGUAUAUAAAGCUAGCUGCUUAUAAUUCUUGAGUCUCGAAACAGUGCAAUCCAUCCAAAAAGGGCGCAAUAGCAGGUGCAAUAUGCUGCGAUUUAUGAUUACUAGCAGAAGCACUAGUGGGUGCCAUCCCCGACAAGUUGUUGCCAUCUUUCUUUAUCUCGUUUUUGAGCAAAUCUGCCUUUUUAGCAGCAGAAGUUUUAGUUGCAGUUUUGAUGAGACAAGGCAAAGAAACGCCAAACUCGUCACGGAAGUAGUCAGUAGCAAUAGCACAACUUAAAUAACCAAAGAAAGACAUUAUCUUUUUAUCAGCUGUAAAAGACAUGAUCUUUUUAUCAGCUGUAACCAACAAUAAGUUGAAGCUUGAAGAUGUGAAUACAUAGAACAAUAGCCCCUCUCCUAAUCCGAUGGGGAAAAGGACUUGACUUUUCAUGAUUUGGUGAGGACCAGCUGUUUCUUGCUUAAUUCCCAAUCCCAUUCUUUAUGGCAAAAUUGGCAAUUACAAUAGCAAGUUCUGGCGUUUUCCUUGAAAGCGAAACUUGAGUAUAGUACUAAGGAGAAGAACAAUGCAUCUGGCCAAUAAUAAACGUUAAG